ensembl:rRNA 5S_rRNA 5S ribosomal RNA
AUCUGUAGCCAGCACUACUAGACCCUCUGUGAUAAUAUCAGAUUUCAUAAACUAAGCAAGGUUGGGCCCGGUCAGUACUUGAAUGGGAUAUCUCCUAUGCAAAGCCAUGUGUUGCAGGAU